rnacentral:misc_RNA from 1 species
UUAUUUGGAUUCAAAUGAUAUAGUACAUCAAAUUAGUUGUGUCAAUACUCGAAAACAAAAUGGAGUGUCUGAAAGAAAAAAUAAAUAUUUUUUGGAAGUGGCUUGAUAUCUUAUGUUUACUAUGAAUCUUCUUACAACUUAUUGGGGGGAAAUGCAAUUUUGGUUGCAACAUAUCCUAUCAAUAGAAUGCCUUUGAGAACGCUAAACUUUGAAGCCUUCUAGAGGUUUUAAAAAGGUCACAAUUCUUAUACUGUUCCUCCAAAAAUUUUUGGAUAUAUCGGUUUUGUCAACAAAACAAAUGUUAAAAAGUUAAAACCUAGAGCAUGGUUUGAUAAAUUCAGUAAGGCCAAGAUAUCUUUUGGAUACUAUCAAAGCAACGCAAGUCAUACUCUAUUUAUGAAACAUUGUAGAGGUAUGAUCACCUUGCUUAUUGUUUAUGUUUAUGACAUGUUUGUAAUAGGAGAGGAUAAGGAGAAAAUUACUCAUCUAAAAAAGCUCUUGGCUCAAGAGUUUGGGAUUAAAGAUUUGUAUAAAUUAAGAUAUUUCCUUGGGAUAGAGGUUGCUAGAUCAGAUAAAAUAUCUUUAUUUCUCAAAAAAAGUACAUAUUGGAUCUGUUGGAGGAAACAAGAAUG